UGGCCGAGGAAGGCGACCGACUGCGCUGUCGGUGCAGCCUGUGGGUGUUGUGCGGCCUUCGGUUUUUCGCGAGUGGCAGCCUUCAAGCCUCGUUUGGAAGCGAGGAUACUAUUGUCAUCAUGCAAGCUGCGGUGAGCAGACUGUGUGCGAUGUUGUGGCGGAGGUAAUCGUGCACGCCGGGAUCCGUAACAAGUGGGUUCACUUGCCGUGGACGCCAGAUGAAAAGGGGGCCUUGAAUGUUUCCUACGGCUGCCGGCGUCAUCGGAUGCGUGGACGGCAGCGUUGCCGUCAUCAUUGCACCGAAGGGCGACGAUCACAAGGCGGCAUUUUAUCCCCGCAAGGGACAUUAUGCCCACAUCGUCAUGCUAAUCUGCGACGAAGACAUGGGAAUCCUGCCGUGAACCACUGCGUCUGGGGUCAGACUACGACGCCCACGUCUGGUGGACAACGCGGCUGCGUGAGCGCAUCGAAGGGGCCCGGAUUGCCGCGGCCGUACCUUCUGGCCUCUAGGUGACAGAGGCUACAAACCAGGACCAUGGCUCCUGACACCUCUCCGAGGCUGUCCUCCCAGAAACGCUGUUAAAAAGGCAAGUGCUACACUGCACAUGCUGCAAUGCAGUCUGUAAUGAAGCGUUGUGCUGGGCUAUUGAGGAGCUGCUUCCGCUGCGUUCAGCAGUGCAGUUGUA